rnacentral:sRNA from 1 species
UGGAAUCCGAGAAAAUCCAUCUCGCUUU